rnacentral:lncRNA from 1 species
GACAUCACCCUUCGUUCGGUACCAUUUGACAGCAUUGCUAAAUUGCUAUUGAAGUGCUAUGUUAGAUUCAUGAGUUAAUAUUUUCAUUCUCACAAAACCAGAUUUAAAAUUAAACAUUAAAAUUAAAAUAGUGUUUAAGAGUUGAAUUAACCCCUAAUGCUAAGUAAAAGACAAACCUCUUAAGGACCAUGACAAUAUUUGGUGAUGAUUCAUUUUACUUGUACUAAUUGAUUUAAAUUAGUUCUACUAGUUUAUAACAUAUAUUCUAAAUGUUCAUUUUUUCCAUUUUACCUUUUGAGUCCUAUUCAUGGGACUUUUGCAUAUAUACCCAAUGG